ensembl:snRNA U6 U6 spliceosomal RNA
CCUCCAUGAGGGAAGCUUCAUGAACAGUGGAGGUAUACAGAGAUCAGCAUAUCCCUUGUGCAAAGAUGACACACAAAAUUCAUGAGACAUUUCUUAUUUUG